rnacentral:rRNA from 1 species
CGCAUCUGUGCAUGCAGCAUAUCAAUAAGCGGAGGAAAAGAAACUAACAAGGAUUCCCCUAGUAACGGCGAGUGAAGCGGGAAGAGCUCAAAUUUGAAAUCUUAAAGGGUUUCCCUUUACGAAUUGUAGUUUAAAGAAGUGUUUUCUGUUGAGGUUUUGGUAAAAGUUCUUUGGAAUAGGACAUCAUAGAGGGUGAGAAUCCCGUAUUUGACCUUUACUUUCAACUUUGUGAUACACUUUCAAAGAGUCGGAUUGUUUGGGAAUGCAGUCCAAAAUGGGUGGUAAAUUUCAUCUAAAGCUAAAUAUUGGCGAGAGACCGAUAGCGAACAAGUACCGUGAGGGAAAAGAUGAAAAGAACUUUGAAAAGAGAGUUAAACAGUACGUGAAAUUGUCAAAAGGGAAGCGUUUGACACCAGUGUUGUUUUUCUGAAAAUCAAUUAAAGAACUGUUUAUGCUAAGCUGUUGAGACUUUAUCAGCUAUCUGUUUAGUUUUGAGCUUUUCUUUAAUGCACUUUUCAGUUAACAAGUCAACAUCAAUUUCUUUUGCUGUAAAAAAGCUUGAGGAAGGUGGCUUGAGAUUCGUCUUAAGUGUUAUAGCCUCUUGCCUAUGCAGUCGGAGAGAUUGAGGUCUGCAGCGUAGAUCCUUCGGGGCUAAAUGCAUUUGUGCUAAGUUAUAGCAUUUUAUAGACAACUUGUUGACUAUGAUUUGUCUUGUAGCUUACUCGCUUAUGUUAUUUUACCUACGCUUAGGAUGUUGAGUCGUAGAGCACGCAG